GGGACCUAUAGGGUCAUAUUACCUGUGUGGAUGGGCAAUGUGAAGCUGAACUGAGUGUCCUGUUCCGGUGUUUGUCCUAACUAGAGAACAUGUAUUGGGCUGGGUUUAGACACCUUUGGCCAACGUCAGAAAUAAGUACACGGAUCAAAUAAUCAAUUGCUUGUUUAGAUAACAGUGGCUGUGUUUAGACAGGCAGCCCAAUUCUGAUAUUUUUUUCACUAAUUGGUCUUUUGACCAAUCAGAUCAGCUCUGAAAAAGAUCUGAUAUGAAAAGAUCUGAUGUGACUGGUCAAAAGACCAAUUAGUGGGAAAAAGAUCAGAAUUGGGCUGCCUGUCUAAAUGCAGCACAUGAUUAAGUCAGACUAUUGCCACAAGAGUCCCUGCUAGAGGGCAUCUCUUUCCUAUACGGUACACACAUCUCUGACCUAAUCAGGCCCUUGAGUGUUGAACAGCAGGACGUAUCGACAGAAUCACCACUCCAGCAGUAUCUUUAUAACUAUGUCAUUUUGUAACGAACUUCAGAGUGAGAGAAAAGAAUGAUAAUGUUGCACACCUAUUUUGCAGUAAAGACACCCAAGCGACUUCAAUGCCGAAUACAGACUUCAGAUGUGAGUGACUGUGUCUCCGUUGUUCAAACGUCAGUUACUCAUCAGUCAUACUUCGACCGAGAAUUCACUAUGUGCUUUUUAGUGAUGGUUUUCACAUACCUUGCCCGUCAUCUCAUUUUCCUCUCCUAUCUAGACCAAACUCUAACAUGGAGGCUUUGGUGUGCAUUAUAUUCAUUUUAUAAAACCAUGGUGAAGCUCAAUGAUUUCAAAGAUGUUUCAUUUUCAAUACUUUCACAAACAAAAGUAAACAAACUACCAUGUCAAUAGUGUUCCCCCCACCGUUCAGAACAUGGCUGGUGGUUUGAUUUCAUUCAAAACAGACUGAUUUGGAAAUGACCAAUCAGAGAUUCACUGUGUAAAUGCACCCACAACGCAACACUAAAGCACAGUGUGCUUACGAGAUAUGAUAUGAGACUCUUUCAUACACUGUUAUAUUCGGCACUCCAUCUUNNNNNNNNNNNNNNNNNNNNNNNNNNNNNNNNNNNNNNNNNNNNNNNNNNNNNNNNNNNNNNNNNNNNNNNNNNNNNNNNNNNNNNNNNNNNNNNNNNNNNNNNNNNNNUUCAGUGGGUCGAAUUUGGUGACAAAUUAUCCACAAGAAAGUAUUAUUUACCUGACUUCAGAGCCCAGAAAGUAUUAUUUACCUGACUUUAGAGCCCAGAAAGUAUUAUUUACCUGACUUUAGAGCCCAGAAAGUAUUAUUUACCUGACUUCAGAGCCCAGAAAGUAUUAUUUACCUGACUUUAGAGCCCAGAAGGUAUUAUUUACCUGACUUUAGAGCCCAGAAAGUAUUAUUUACCUGACUUUAGAGCCCAGAAGGUAUUAUUUACCUGACUUUAAGGCCAGAAAGUAUUAUUUACUUGACCUUAGAGCCCAGAAAGUAUUAUUUACCUNNNNNNNNNNNNUCUCUCUCUCUCUCUCUCUCUCUCUCUCUCGUUCUGUAAUUACUCCAUAGACUAGGGUUCAGUGGGUAUUUUGCUACUAUUUACACUGUUUGUUUUAUAGAUGAAAUACUAAAGCUGCCUCAUCAAACCAGCCAUCAAUCCUUCCCAGAACUGUUGAGAAUGUUUCAAAGACAGAAUGAAAUGAUCUUUCCUGUGUGCAGGAAUGCUUUUCUGAUGGAAAGGAUAUACAGUACGUGUGUGUAUUUUCCGUGAGGGAAUGUUUUUUGUUCUUUGCUUACCGUAGCAAAUUCUCAUGAAUCCACAAAUGAAUGUUUUUUUAUUGGUGUAAUGGACCUAGCUUCACUCUCUCUCUACACCACGUUCUAUUAAUGCUUUGUACAUAGAUUCAGUGAUUAUGUGAUUGCUUGCCCCAACUAUAACCAGAGGUUUGCAAGAUACUAACUAUUAUUGGAUAUGUUUUGUAUUCCUUUUUGUCAGGUAAAUACAUUUCAAUGUUUUAAAUGGUACAGAAAUGUAGGUAUGUUUUUGAUUAAGCGCUACCUAAUUUGACAAUGUUAUAGUUGAGUUGGAUCAUAUUUUUAUAUGAGUAUAUCAGAAAUUGUUUCGUUGAAUAACUAGGCUGAAAAAUGCAAUGUAAAUAGAAUAGCUAAGUAUCUGGUGAUACAACCAUAGAUGUGAUUCCCACUGGGGACAUUCCUUUGGUUAAUUCCCACACUAGAGAGAGAGAGAGAGAGACAGAGAGAGACAGAGAGAAAGAGGGAGAGUUAACAUGUUCUCUAUGUGCUGUGCUUCGGUGUAGGGAUACUAAAAGCACUCAUAGCAAAUAUCAACACUUGAACACAAAACCUUUCAUGGGUUAUUGACACUAUUUUCACUCAACAACAUGAUCUGGAUAUAUUAUUCGUCUUGAACAUGCAUAAGUAAAUCAUCAGCGUUAAGACUGGUAAUAAGCUAUCGUGUCACAGAUUCUACAUCAAUACUGCAGGUUUCCUUCUAUGCUAUGGUCUCAG
rnacentral:lncRNA from 13 species